AGGAACUGCCGAUGCUAAGUGACAGAUGGCUAGCUGUUAUGUGAGUGAGUCUGAGGGUAAAAUGGCUACAGCUUACAAUAUGUUUCAGUUAGAAACAACGUCUAUUAUGGCCGUUGUCGUCGAGACGGCAAUGACAGAAAUGGGCAAAUUUUUGACCACCGGGCCGAACUCUUACGUUUGCAAUCCGGAGAGAGAGCUGUACACAAUUAUGAAUCUGGUGACAGGGGAGGCUAUUCGUAAAAUCUGCCAACUAUUCCUAGUGGUCUCCUCAAGUUUACAAAAUGAGAACGAUAAACUGAAGACCAAGGUGGAACAGAUGGAUGAAGUUCUGAAAACCAAGGUGGAGCAGAUGGAUGAAGAUAUGAAGGCAUUGACUGAGAAGGCUGAACAUUAUAGAGCAUCACUGGCUAAAAUGCAGGCACAAGCAGAACCGAAAGGACCCACGCAUAUUCUGCUCAAUGGAAUGAUUUUUGCAAUUCCACCAGUUGGUCUCUCAAUGUUCUCUGGAAUCACAGCGGCUUCAACAUUGCCAGGGAAUGUCAGUCAAGCAAACACUGUCACUAAUGCGAUGUCAGUCUGUGCAGGUAAUCCUUCAAAUUGUGUUAUUUGGAAUAAUGGUUAGCAAACCAAGGUCUUAAUCACUAGGAACCAAACAGAAGCAAAUGGGCCAAAACGAGAAGGGCAUAGGCAGCUAGUGAGUGGUGUCACCACCAGUGAGUGGUGUACAGAAUGGUGUUGUCUGCGUAGAGGUGGAUCAG